AGUGAACGCUGGCGGUAGGCCUAACACAUGCAAGUCGAACGGCAGCACAGUAAGAGCUUGCUCUUACGGGUGGCGAGUGGCGGACGGGUGAGGAAUACAUCGGAAUCUACUUUUUCGUGGGGGAUAACGUAGGGAAACUUACGCUAAUACCGCAUCCGACCUACGGGUGAAAGCAGGGGAUCUUCGGACCUUGCGCGAUUGAAGGAGCCGAUGUCGGAUUAGCUAGUUGGCGGGGUAAAGGCCAACCAAGGCGACGAUCCGUAGCGGGGGUGAGAGGAUGAGCGGCCACACUGGAACUGAGACACGGUCCAGACUCCUACGGGAGGCAGCAGUGGGGAAUAUUGGACAAUGGGCGCAAGCCUGAUCCAGCCAUACCGCGUGGGUGAAGAAGGCCUUCGGGUUGUAAAGCCCUUUUGUUGGGAAAGAAAAGCAGCAGGUUAAUACCCCGCUGUUCUGACGGUACCCAAAGAAUAAGCACCGGCUAACUUCGUG
rnacentral:rRNA from 1 species